rnacentral:rRNA from 1 species
CCUACGGGAGGCAGCAGUGAGGAAUAUUGGUCAAUGGACGGAAGUCUGAACCAGCCAUGCCGCGUGCAGGAAGACGGCUCUAUGAGUUGUAAACUGCUUUUGUACAAGGGUAAACCUGAAUACGUGUAUUCAGCUGAAAGUACUGUACGAAUAAGGAUCGGCUAACUCCGUGCCAGCAGCCGCGGUAAUACGGGGGAUGCAAGCGUUAUCCGGAUUUAUUGGGUUUAAAGGGUGCGUAGGCUGUGAGGUAAGUCAGCGGUGAAAUGCCCCCGCUCAACGGGGUGAAGUGCCAUUGAUACUGCCUUGCUGGAAUGCGGAUGCCGUGGGAGGAAUGUGUGGUGUAGCGGUGAAAUGCAUAGAUAUCACACAGAACACCGAUUGCGAAGGCAUCUCACGAAUCCGCGAUUGACGCUGAUGCACGAAAGCGUGGGUAUCAAACAGGAUUAGAUACCCCUGUAGUC